CGAGUGGCGGACGGGUGAGUAAUGCCUGGGAAACUGCCCGAUGGAGGGGGAUAACUACUGGAAACGGUAGCUAAUACCGCAUAACGUCGCAAGACCAAAGAGGGGGACCUUCGGGCCUCUUGCCAUCGGAUGUGCCCAGAUGGGAUUAGCUAGUAGGUGGGGUAACGGCUCACCUAGGCGACGAUCCCUAGCUGGUCUGAGAGGAUGACCAGCCACACUGGAACUGAGACACGGUCCAG
rnacentral:rRNA from 1 species